GGCUCUGUAGCUCAGUGGUAAGAGCAGGGGAUUCAUAAGCCCAAGGUCGUAGGUUCAACUCCCACCAGAGCCA
rnacentral:tRNA from 1 species